GUUUCUUUUUAAAAACAUUGUAUCUGUGGUUGGGUUAUUUCUGUCAAUUUAUUUGCCUUCCUUGCCAAGUCACACUUCGCCUAAUUGAUGUCCUGUGUGUUUUCCAUUCCGUUCAUGCUGAAUUAUCUUAGGUCAAAGAGGAAAUCAUCUUUCUGCCUCCAACCUUCUUACUUGCCUCUAAUCCCCUUUCUUGACUCUUCCAAGUCAGGAUUCUCACCAAGGAAGCUAUCUGCCUUCUUUGGGAAUGUUGGGAUUAUGAAGACUUGAGAUAAUGGGGUUCAUGUAUUCAGACUCUUUAGCAUAUACAGUAGAGUUUCUAAUGUUGUCAUCAUUCCCUAGUGGGCGGUUACAAGUUAGGUUGGGAUUCUAAUCAUAUUUUAUGAUAUCUCACAGAUUAAAUUGCACUUUGUCUCUGCCCAGUCUUGAUUCCCUUUUGGCCAGCAGUUUUUAGGUCUGUCAGUACUGCACUGCAAGAAUGGCAGAUUUUGGGAUCUCUGCUGGCCAGUUUGUGGCAGUGGUCUGGGAUAAGUCAUCCCCAGUGGAGGCUCUGAAAGGUCUGGUGGAUAAGCUUCAAGCGUUAACCGGCAAUGAGGGCCGCGUGUCUGUGGAAAACAUCAACCAGCUGUUGCAAUCUGCCCACAAAGAAUCCAGCUUUGACAUUAUUUUGUCGGGUUUAGUCCCAGGAAGCACCACUCUGCACAGUGCUGAGAUUUUGGCUGAAAUCGCCCGGAUCCUUCGGCCUGGUGGAUGUCUUUUUCUGAAAGAGCCAGUAGAGACAGCUGUAGAUAACAAUAGCAAAGUGAAGACAGCAUCUAAGUUGUGUUCAGCCCUGACUCUUUCUGGUCUUGUGGAAGUGAAAGAGCUGCAGCGGGAGCCCCUAACCCCUGAGGAAGUACAGUCUGUUCGAGAACACCUUGGUCAUGAAAGUGACAACCUGCUGUUUGUUCAGAUCACAGGCAAAAAACCAAACUUUGAAGUGGGUUCUUCUAGGCAGCUUAAGUUUUCCAUCACCAAGAAGUCUUCUCCUUCAGGUAAGGCUGGCCUAGGGACAUUCUUCUGUUUGAAUGGGCUUAGAGGGACAUGUUAGAAAUUGAGCCAGCAAUAAAUGAGAUGGUGAUAUUUUUAGAGGAUUAGUCCUUUGAUUUCUGCCAUUUCCACAUAGAAG
rnacentral:sRNA from 1 species